rnacentral:rRNA from 1 species
GACGAACGCUGGCGGCGUGCUUAACACAUGCAAGUCGAGCGGUAAGGCCCUUUCGGGGGUACACGAGCGGCGAACGGGUGAGUAACACGUGAGCAAUCUGCCCUUCACUUUGGGAUAACCACCGGAAACGGUGGCUAAUACCGGAUACGACCGCCCCAGGCAUCUGGUGGUGGUGGAAAGUUCUGGCGGUGGAGGAUGAGCUCGCGGCCUAUCAGCUUGUUGGUGGGGUAAUGGCCUACCAAGGCGACGACGGGUAGCCGGCCUGAGAGGGUGACCGGUCACACUGGGACUGAGACACGGCCCAGACUCCUACGGGAGGCAGCAGUGGGGAAUAUUGGACAAUGGGCGAAAGCCUGAUCCAGCAACGCCGCGUGAGGGAUGACGGCCUUCGGGUUGUAAACCUCUUUCAGUAGGGACGAAGCGCGAGUGACGGUACCUACAGAAGAAGCACCGGCCAACUACGUGCCAGCAGCCGCCGUAACAC